rnacentral:rRNA from 1 species
GAUGAACGCUGGCGGCGUGCCUAAUACGUGCAAGUCGAGCGAACGGACGAGAAGCUUGCUUCUCUGAUGUUAGCGGCGGACGGGUGAGUAACACGUGGAUAACCUACCUAUAAGACUGGGAUAACUUCGGGAAACCGGAGCUAAUACCGGAUAAUAUUUUGAACCGCAUGGUUCAAAAGUGAAAGACGGUCUUGCUGUCACUUAUAGAUGGAUCCGCGCUGCAUUAGCUAGUUGGUAAGGUAACGGCUUACCAAGGCAACGAUGCAUAGCCGACCUGAGAGGGUGAUCGGCCACACUGGAACUGAGACACGGUCCAGACUCCUACGGGAGGCAGCAGUAGGGAAUCUUCCGCAAUGGGCGAAAGCCUGACGGAGCAACGCCGCGUGAGUGAUGAAGGUCUUCGGAUCGUAAAACUCUGUUAUUAGGGAAGAACAUAUGUGUAAGUAACUGUGCGCAUCUUGACGGUACCUAAUCAGAAAGCCACGGCUAACUACGUGCCAGCAGCCGCGGUAAUACGUAGGUGGCAAGCGUUAUCCGGAAUUACUGGGCGUAAAGCGCGCGUAGGCGGUUUUUUAGUCUGAUGCGAAAGCCCACGGCUCAACCGUGGAGGGUCAUUGGAAACUGGAAAACUUGAGUGCAGAAGAGGAAAGUGGAAUUCCAUGUGUAGCGGUGAAAUGCGCAGAGGUAUGGAGGAACACCAGUGGCGAAGGCGACUUUCUGGUCUGUAACUGACGCUGAUGUGCGAAAGCGUGGGGAUCAAACAGGAUUAGAUACCCUGGUAGUCCACGCCGUAAACGAUGAGUGCUAAGUGUUAGGGGGUUUCCGCCCCUUAGUGCUGCAGCUAACGCAUUAAGCACUCCGCCUGGGGAGUACGACCGCAAGGUUGAAACUCAAAGGAAUUGACGGGGACCCGCACAAGCGGUGGAGCAUGUGGUUUAAUUCGAAGCAACGCGAAGAACCUUACCAAAUCUUGACAUCCUUUGACAACUCUAGAGAUAGAGCCUUCCCCUUCGGGGGACAAAGUGACAGGUGGUGCAUGGUUGUCGUCAGCUCGUGUCGUGAGAUGUUGGGUUAAGUCCCGCAACGAGCGCAACCCUUAAGCUUAGUUGCCAUCAUUAAGUUGGGCACUCUAAGUUGACUGCCGGUGACAAACCGGAGGAAGGUGGGGAUGACGUCAAAUCAUCAUGCCCCUUAUGAUUUGGGCUACACACGUGCUACAAUGGACAAUACAAAGGGCAGCGAAACCGCGAGGUCAAGCAAAUCCCAUAAAGUUGUUCUCAGUUCGGAUUGUAGUCUGCAACUCGACUACAUGAAGCUGGAAUCGCUAGUAAUCGUAGAUCAGCAUGCUACGGUGAAUACGUUCCCGGGUCU